CCUACGGGAGGCAGCAGUGAGGAAUAUUGGUCAAUGGGCGAGAGCCUGAACCAGCCAAGUCGCGUGAGGGAAGACGGUCCUAUGGAUUGUAAACCUCUUUUGCCGGGGAGCAAAACGCGGUACGUGUACCGCAUCGAGAGUACCCUGAGAAAAAGCAUCGGCUAACUCCGUGCCAGCAGCCGCGGUAAUACGGAGGAUGCGAGCGUUAUCCGGAUUUAUUGGGUUUAAAGGGUGCGCGGGCGGCGGGUUAAGUCAGCGGUAAAAUUUCGGGGCUCAAAUCCGACGAGCCGUUGAUACUGGCUGGCUUGAGUGGGCGAGAGGUAGGCGGAAUGCGUGGUGUAGCGGUGAAAUGCAUAGAUAUCACGCAGAACUCCGAUUGCGAAGGCAGCAUACCGGAGCGCAACUGACGCUCAGGCACGAAAGCGUGGGUAUCGAACAGGAUUAGAUACCCGGGUAGUC
rnacentral:rRNA from 1 species